rnacentral:sRNA from 1 species
GAGGACACUGGGGCCAUCUGAGUCAUGAGGAAUGUUC